rnacentral:rRNA from 1 species
CUUAGAGUAAUGUCUAAGUAUCAUUAAGUGAAUACAUAGCAUAAAGAGGGGCACUCAGGGAACUGAAACAUCUAAGUACCUGAAGGAAGAGAAAGAAAUACGAUUAAGUAAGUAGAGGCGAGCGAACAAGGAUAAACCCAAACCAAUAAAGUUUUCUUUAUUGGGGUUGCGGACAUAUCAUAACGAAGAGGUAUCGUAAUUGAAGAGGUUGGAAAGACCCACCACAGAAGGUAAUAGUCCUGUAUGUUAAACGAGAAGACUUUAGAUAUGAUCCAGAGUACCACGGGACACGUGAAACCCUGUGGGAAGCAGGAGGGACCACCCUCCAAGGCUAAAUACUACCUAGUGACCGAUAGCGUAUAGUACCGUGAGGGAAAGGUGAAAAGAACCCCGGGAGGGGAGUGAAAUAGAACCUGAAACCCUGCACUUACAAGCUGUGGAAGCACAUUUCUUGUGUGACCGCGUACUUUUUGUAGAACGGGCCAACGAGUUACGUUAAGUAGCAAGGUUAAGCAGUUAAGGUGUGGAGCCGUAGCGAAAGCGAGUUUUGACUGAGCGUUCAGUUACUGGACGUAGACCCGAAACCGGGCGACCUACCCAUGAGCAGGAUGGAGCGAAAGUAAGAAGUCGUGGAGGUGCGAACCCGCGAGCGUUGGAAAGAUCGAGGAUGACUUGAGGGUGGCGGUGAAAUGCGAAGCAAGCCCGGAGAUAGCUGGUUCUCGCCGAAA